rnacentral:rRNA from 1 species
GACGAACGCUGGCGGCGUGCUUAACACAUGCAAGUCGAACGGAAAGGCCCUGCUUUUGUGGGGUGCUCGAGUGGCGAACGGGUGAGUAACACGUGAGUAACCUGCCCUUGACUUUGGGAUAACUUCAGGAAACUGGGGCUAAUACCGGAUAGGAGCUCCUGCUGCAUGGUGGGGGUUGGAACGUUGCGGCGGUUGGGGAUGGACUCGCGGCUUAUCAGCUUGUUGGUGGGGUAGUGGCUUACCAAGGCCUUGACGGGUAGCCGGCCUGAGAGGGUGACCGGCCACAUUGGGACUGAGAUACGGCCCAGACUCCUACGGGAGGCAGCGGUGGGGAAUAUUGCACAAUGGGCGGAAGCCUGAUGCAGCAACGCCGCGUGCGGGAUGACGGCCUUCGGGUUGUAAACCGCUUUCGCCUGUGACGAAGCGUGAGUGACGGUAAUGGGUAAAGAAGCACCGGCUAACUACGUG